AAGAUUAAGCCAUGCAUGCGAAAGACAAUUCGAGGAGACUCUCACAAAAUCUGCGAACGGCUCCGUAUAUCUGUUAAAACCCGUUGCCCGUGGGAAAGGUUGGUAAGCGGAUAUCGCUCGGCAAUUCUGUCAGUAAUACGUGUACGUGCAGCGUGUCCAACAUUCAGCUUAACCGUGGCCCGACGGCCCGCUGUAGCAGGAUGGACGGACUCCGGAACGCCCAGCUCUACCAAGAGUUAGGAAACCGCCGAGAAGUGAACCAAGCCCUAUGGGAACCUGGAGGCAACGGUUUUCAGACCUAUCAACUUGAAGCCUGUGGAGGGUACAGGCCUGGUUUUAACGGGUACAGAGGAUCAGGGUUCGGUCCUGGAGAGGUAGCCUGAGAGAUCGCUACUACUUCUAAGGAAGGCAGCAGGCGCGCAACGUUCCCAAUGGAGGCAUAGGCCCCCUGAGGACGUGACGGGACAUACCAAUACCCAGCCCGAAGGGCUUGGGUAAUCGGAAUGGGGGGAACCUAAACCCCACGACCGAGUAACAAUUGGAGGACAAGUCUGGUGCCAGCACCCGCGGUAAUUCCAGCUCCAAUAGCAUCUAAUUAAGUUGUUGCAGUUAAAACGCUCGUAGUUCGAAUCCGGUGCAAAGCGCGCGGCUGCUCUGGGGAACAGGUGUGAUGGCUCUGCCGUUGCCCGCCUCUCCUUAAACGAGUGCGCUUGCUCCGAUAAUCGCUCCCGGCCCGGCAACGUAUAUCGGCCGCCUAAUAGGCCCGGGGCACUUUACCUUGAGGAAAUGCGAGAGCUCAAAUCAGGUCAACUAUGGACCCGCUGUGAAGCCUGUAGCAAGGAACAAUACAAUAGGCCUCUGAGGCUAUGGUACGCUGCAGAGAUAUGGUCAAUAGGGGGGAUCGGGGUCGGCCAGAUGGCAGGGGUAGGGGUGAAAUCCGAUGAUCCUUGCCAGCUGAACUAGAGCGAAAGCAGCCGACAAGUACCCUUUCUUUGAUCAAGAACGAAAGUCUGGGGAUCGAAGAUGAUCAGAUACCAUCGUAGUCCAGACCCUAAAUGCUGCCGACCAUGGAUGGGCCUAAGUCCAUCCCGACCCGGCCCGCACCUUGUGAGAAAUCAUCAAGUGUUUGGGCUCCGGGGGGAGUAUGGUCGCAAGACUGAAACUUAAAGGAAUUGACGGAAGAGCACACAAGGAGUGGAGCCUGCGGCUUAAUUUGACUCAACACGGGAAAACUCACAUUGGCAAGAGAGGGGUAAGAUGCCCGGCCCCGAUGGCAAGGCAAGAUUCCCUCAGUGGUGGUGCAUGGUCGUUCUUAGUUCGUGGAGUGAUUUGUCUGGUCUAUUCCGCUAACGAGCAAGAUCCCGACUUCUGGUUGUUGCCGUCUAUGUGCGCGCUGGUGAUGCAUCUGGGGGGCCAAUCGGGCUCGGUCCUGCACCACAGGUACUUUGAACCACGCACCUGGUUCCCCCAGAACUGCCACGCAACAGGGGCAAUCCGAGUGGGCACGCUGAGUGCGCUACUCGUUAAACUCUUCUUACAUACGUUGUGGUCUUCGGACCAAACCCGGGCCUGCAGGGCAGCCCUACUUUCAAGUAGGUGCAACGGGUCAAUAACAGGUCAGUGAUGCCCUUAGAUGCCUUUGGCUGCACGCGCGCUACAAUGGGGAAAGCAACGGGUUACGGCGUCUAACGACGUCUUUGGAGCCUUUCACGAGGCACUAGGUCGUGAACCCGGCCAAUAUUCCUCUUAACUGGGACUGCACCAAGUAUCUUGGUACGCGCGAACGUGGAAUUUCUAGUACCCGCCGUUCAUCAGACGGUGUGGAUUCUGUCCCUGCUCUUUGUACACACCGCCCGUCGCUCCUACCGAUUGAGCUAAUGGGUGAGCUAGGAGGACGCGAAUACUGUUCGGUCUUUCAAGCCACACUUAACGAGGUGGCCGGGCUAUUCAAUCAACACGGGGCAACCUGGAAACCGCCAAUCCCUGCGAACCCUUUGGCUUAGAGGAAGGAGAAGUCGUAACAAGGUAUCCUAGGUGACCUG
rnacentral:rRNA from 1 species